rnacentral:rRNA from 1 species
AGGGUGUAAACGCUGCGGGCUUGGUGUUGGGGGUCCUUAGUGGGCGCCCAGUGCCGGAGAGAAGUUGUUAAGCCUGCUGCUUGGGGAGUAUGUCCGCAAGGAUGAAACUUAAAGGAAUUGGCGGGGGAGCACCACAACGGGUGGAGCUUGCGGUUUAAUUGGAUUCAACGCCGGAAAUCUUACCGGGACCGACAGCAACAUGAAGGCCAAGCUGAAGACUUUGCCGGAUUAGCUGAGAGGAGGUGCAUGGCGUGUGACUGU